rnacentral:lncRNA from 10 species
GUGGAGACCAGAGUCUUGCUAUGCUUUCCAGGCUGGUUUUGAACUCCUAGCCUCAAGCGAUUUUCCUGCCUCAGCUUCCCAAAGUGCUGGGAUUACAGGCACAAGCCACUGCACCCGGCCCUGUUGUUGUUAAGAAAAUUACAAGUUAAAUCUUGUACCAGUGAACAAGAUUAGGGAUCGUGAUGUGGAGCUGCACUUCCUGGUUCCAAAUCCUGGCUCUUCCCCUCAUCCCUGGGUAAGUUGAGGGAUGAGAGCAAGAGAAGGUUGAUCCUGACUCAGAUCUCUGCAUGGGGCAUGUCACUGAUGACGGCGGCAUUCCCUGAGAGAGGGAACACUAAGUUUGAAGUUGGGCAUAGUGAGCACUAUUUUGGAUGAGUUAAGUUUAGAAGUGCCUGAAGACAUCCAAGUGGAAGAAGUGGCUGCAUGGACUGAAGAUACAGACUGGGAAACGUUAACACCAUCAAGGAACUGGAGUCCUGGGCACAGAAUAUGCUGCAAAGGGAGAAGAAGGAAGACGUGUGGUAUGGAAUCACCUAUGGAUAAGGUUGAGAACCAUGGGCUAGAUGCUAUGGAGACCAACGUAUCACUUACUAGGCUUUACUUUGUGCCAGGCACUGGAUUCGGCAUUACCCCAUUUAAGCCUCACUACCAUCCUUCAUGUUACUAUUCCACGUUGCCGCUCAGGAGAAACAAAAUUUUUUUAUUAAAUUCAAGUAACCUGAGGUCCCAUAUUUAGUAAGAGGCAGAGGAGUUAGAUGUGUCAAUAGCUAAAUUACAUGGCUGUGUCCUCUAGCUGGCCAGGGACUGACAACAUCAGUAUCACCUGGUGACUCUCCCAGGGGAGAUGUUUUUAAAAAUCUUUUCCAGUAAUUCUGUGCAACAUGGCAAUCUGAAACCAGUCUUUCAGACCUGGAAGUUCUUUAGAGACCACAGGACUCUCUUUGAUAUUUUUUCUUUUGAAUUUUUUUAAAAUACAGAAUCCUUUUUCAUGUUCUCUGUUUAUAAAACAACUGCAUGUCAAUUACAUUAUUUUUUAGAAGAUAGGUACAAGAGCCAGGCGUGGUGGCUCAUGGCUGUAAUCACAACACUUUGGGAGGUCGAGGCAGGUGGAUCAUUUGAGGCUGGAAGUUCGAGACCAGCCUGGCCAACAUGGCAAAACCUGUCUCUACUAAAAAUAUAAAAAAUUAGCCUGGAGUAGUGGUGCAUGUCCCAGCUACUCGGGAGGCUGAGGCAUGAAAAUCGCUUGAACCCGGGAGGUGCAGGUUGCAGUGAGCCAAGAUCGCACCACUGCACUCCAGCCUGGGCAACAGAGCAAGACUGUGUCUUGACAGCAACAAAAAAAGAAGAUAGGUAUAGGAAUUAAAAAGAAAGCAAAUAAUUACUGGUAGCCUGACCACUAAGAGAUAUAUACUGAUAUUUUUUUUGCGGGGGGUGCAUCUCCUUGCAGGCCUUUUUGUAUGUUUAUGUUCAAACACAUUUGUAACAACAAUGAAUAAAAAACGCAUAAUAUUCAAUGACUUUUUAUU